UACGUAGGGCGCAAGCGUUAUCCGGAAUUUAUUGGGCGUAAAGAGCUCGUAGGCGGUUUGUCGCGUCGGCUGUGAAAGCCCGGAGCUCAACCCCGGGCCUGCAGUCGAUACGGGCAGACUAGAGUGCGGUAGGGGAGACUGGAAUUCCUGGUGUAGCGGUGAAAUGCGCAGAUAUCAAGAGGAACACCGUGGACGGUGAAAGGCACGGGGUUCGCCUUGGGGCCGUAA
rnacentral:rRNA from 1 species